ensembl:lncRNA
CGGAGAAGUGCUGAUUUAGUAACAGAAUAUUUUACAGCAGAAAAGGUCACAAAUUGGCAGCAUUAAGGGUUUUAUUUUGGUUAGUUGACAAGUGCGAAUAAAUGCUGUACAGAACAGGUAGUCAAGUGCCAGCAAUAUUUUUCUUUUGAAAAUGUUAUCUUCGCUCAGAUCUUCUUCAGCAGAAUAUCACCAGUCAAUCAUAAAGCUGGCUGUUCCAGACAAAUUCUUUUACCAUUACACAAUCCUGUGUGAAUACUGGGUUCACGCCGUGGAGACAUCAGCCUGCAAACCCCAAAGAUGAUGUUUUCUAAUCCAAAAAGAAGUCAUUUCCCCAUUAUGGAGCGGGAAAUGAAUCUUUUCAGAAAGUGUCUUUUUAAAAAAAAAACCUCACGUUCCCAUUCUGGAUAGAUCAGCUUAAUUAAAGUCAGAGUCGUGCCUUUCAUUAUUAGGCAGAAAGGCAAACAGCUUAUCUCCAGCACGUUCUCAAUGCACCGUCAGGUCAGUACCUUGUGACCCGUCCCGCAGAACACAUCAGACUUCUUAGCUAACGUACAAUAUUCAGAAAGCAGAUAACUAAAACAAGCGAUGGACUUCACCAUGACUUUAAGCAGAAAAGAUCAAGAAAUCUGCCUCCAUACACUGCAGCUUGCUGCGUCACAUCUUAACUGCUGAUUCACAGCAGCUCUCUGCACCUGAACUGUCCAGAUCAGGUUAUUGCUUUGGGGCUUUAUUUUAAAGAAAAGUUCGCAAGAAGUUAUUGCCUUUCUUUUGUCAGAAAUCGCACUUCUGUUUUCACAAUCACCAAAAGGAGAUUUCAGGAGAGCUGUGGAGUCUCAUUAAUCUCCCCACAGCUAGGCUGUAGAUUGAAUGAUGGUGUCACAGAUCGCCCAAAACGUUUCCAUGCUUAUCGUCAGCGAUAAAAAGCAAGUGGAUUGACUUAAUGAGCCGGCAGGCAGCAACUUGUGGAUGGAGCCAAAGUAUGCUACAGAAUUACCAGCAGGGCUCACAGUGGGUAAUAACUUUGGGUUUUGUUGUUUUCAAAUAGUCCUGACUGCUUCUCUGCAGACAUCCUCCAAAUCUUAUCCUUCUUCUGGCUGCCUAUGACACCAUCCCACCGCUGACCCCUCUGAAAAACUUUCUUGCGUUCUCGAUGUUGUCUCUUCUGUGUGAUGAGUUUUUCCUUUUGCUUGAAUUACUUACUCCUCCCACUGGGCGUUUUCCUGACUUAUACUACUUGAGUUCAGCACAAAAGUACUGAAAGCAAGGUCAAUGUUUUAUGCAAUUCUUCCUAACAUGCAAAUGUCAUGUCUUGAGCUGCGCCUCCUUGCUUUUAUCUUUCUUGCUUCUGUUUAAAAAGGAAUAUGUUCAGUAAAUAUACAGUAAAUAUAUUACUGAUAGAAGUGCCAUAAUAAUAUGAGCUCAUGAAAAUUACAUUAACGAUUUUGAUAAGAGCACUGCCUUUUGGUAAAGGAGCUGUCGUUACAAUAUUGCUUUGGAAUGCCAGAGAUGCAUGGGCUGACCUGUAUACACCAACAACUAACAGCCACGCUGCCGUGCGCUAUCAGGAGGAAAGAAGAUACCGGCUGAGAAAGGAAAGGAAAACUGUUUAUUUCAGUCCCCAGGAGGAAGUAGCAAAGCAACCUCAGUGAAAGCAAAAACCCUGCAAAGAGCAUUGCAUCUCUGAGAAGAUGAAAGGGGGGUGUCAGUGAUAUCUUAUGAUUUAUAGUAGCUUUGCAGUUGCAGGCUCUGAUGUGUGAAUGUAAUGUGUUUUCCUAAUAAGAUGAAUAAGUGCUCUGAGUUGAUCCUUAAAUAAAUGUAUAAAGUGCUGAAAAGCAUGAGCACAGAGUAUGGCUUAAGAAAGGUAAAUAGAGAUAUGAAAUGACUGCUCUUGAGUGCGAGAUGAGAAUGAAAGAAUGUAGUGUUCCUAAAGCAUUUACUGUUUGGUGAGAAGAAAAUGAGCAUACUGUCUUCAGUGCUACACUCCCUUUUUCUUUCUUCCUUUUAUCAUCUUGCCAAAAUUAAACGUCUUUCUGCUAACUUACUGAAAUAGGAAAUCCAGCAUUCUGGAUUUGGAACACUCCCUUGAGGACUUUGUGACCAUAAACCAAUAAAUGGAUUACAUUCAUUCACAUGUGUUUUUCCCAUCUGUGACAGAUAAUGUGGCGUGCCACAACUAAGGUAAAAAGUGGAAUGGGCAAAAUGCAGUUUCUUUCAUGUCUUACAAUUCAUCGAGAAGCUUCAGGGUAGAUGCCAAGACUUUCAAAAUCUUGAAUCAGACACAGAGGCUGAGCCCCAGAGGUUUAAAUAAGGACAUCAACAUCACUAUCACAGAGCAGCAAUACUCACAGCCCAGCUGCAAGUGGGUAAAAUUUGCACCGAAAGCAUCAACUUGGGAGUAUGAGGCAAGAAUUCCCACAGUUUUCUUUCCUCCUCCCCCAGCCUGCAAUAAAAAUCCCACAAAACAGAAAAAGUUCUCUUUGGUUUGGAUUUGAUAUGUUAAAAAACAGGUAUGUCACUUUUACACAGCGUCUGAUGUAUUAAGUCUCAAAUAACACAAGAAUUCUUAUAUAACUCAGUAAUCAGUGGACUCAAUUGUUUAGAAUAUGCCAACAGUAAAUGCAGGAGGAAUUUAUAAUCAUAUUUUCAUGGGGAGUAAGCCAAAACCCCUUCUGCAAGUCAAACAAACUGCUUCACUUUUUCAUUUUGGAGAGGUUCAAAACACAAAGAGAUAUGACAACACGUCUGAUAAAUGUCUCCUCUGGCAUUUUCCCCAUGGAGUUGACGCAAAGAAAAGUAGGAAGAUUAGGUUGUUAUGUCCACUGUGUGUGUUAUCGUUACUGUACAGGUGGGUAGUUACAGUACUUCAAUGACAAAAACUCUGUUGAGAAAAAAAAAAAUACAAAGAAUUAUUAGCAUCCAAUUUUUCUGUUCUUCACUUCAAUCUCCUCCACUUUUUCCUCCUCUCAAGAUGCUCUUUUCUUUCUCAGCGUAUCUUUUCAGUAGACUUCUUUUCUUUCUUUCCUGACUCUUUUGGACUCCUUCAGCAACGGAAAUUAAGUGAGGUUGACUGAAUUGGUUUAAACACAACAGAAAUACGGUUCCAAUGACUGGAAUUUAAAGGCAGAUUUCCCCUGACUGAUGUCUGCCAGUCAUAGAUGUUUUGAGACAGUAUUUUAAAAUCAUUUUGUUAUUAGAAAUUUAUUUCUCAGGUGUUCCUUUUUCAAGCGAGCAGUCCCACUCUCUGCAGGGAGAAGGGCAACACCUUUCUCAUCUCCUCAUGGCUGGCCAUCAGCCGCUUUUUCUCCUCAGCUUCCCCCCUCUCACCUUUUUUUCCCAGGUGCAGCACACUAUCUAAGGAAAUGUAAAGGACUGAGGGGUGACCCAUUCUCUUGCAGCAUGGUGGGCAUCUUCAAGGGUCCUCUGCACGCUGCGGACCCAGUUCUACUUGUGAGCCCUCAGCCCUUGUGCUCCUGCCCAUUUAUUUAUUUAUUUUGCCUUUGCUCACAUUUUUUUUCCAUUUGCCUUUCCUCCUCCAGGGAGGUCCUAACACUCUGGUUAGCCCACCAGUGCCCCAGCCCAGUCCCAAGCUGAGGCAAACAAAAGCUUCACUGCUUCACAUUCAUUUCUGCCCAGAAGGAAGAAAGAGAGGGCAGACACCCCAGAGAUGUGGGGUGGAAACGGCAUCCAUCCCAGGGCACAGCUGUGAUUUCAGUCUCCAAAUGUGGACUGUAGUAGAGAGAACUAAGAAGCACUUUCCCAAGCCCUGCAGACAGGAUGGCCUGGGUUCACACAGCUCUCUUCACCUGGAAAUGUCUCAGAGAUUCCUACUGACACUGACUCCACUCCCAAAGUCCAAACCCUACUUUGUUUUAACAUUUCUGUUUACUACGCUAUAGCCUUAAAAGCCAUCAGGAUCAGAGCCCACAGUGGUGCGAAGCUGCCAUUUUUUCUCUUGCAUUUAGGGUAAAGCGAGCCUUUCUAUACUUGGGCAAACAUUCUUGUCUUUGGUGAUGAGGCUGAGAUUUGUGCUUGAAACAUACUUGGUAAUACAACUUCAAGAUGCUUGGCAAGGCUGAACUCCUGCAAAAGAAUCUGAUGUAAGAAAACAGAUGAAAGCUGCUGCAUAGUUGAAGAGAAUUGCAGAGAUUUGAUUGAGGACAGGAUUUGGCCUCUACCGCUGAACAUUCAUGAGGCCAAACAUGAUAUAGAAACUGUUUCAGUCAAAUGUUUUCUGCUGAAUCUACGUGCCAGGGAGCUGAGCAGCUUCAUUUAUCACUGCUCCACCGCUGGUGUUUGUCGUUAUUAUAACUUUUUUCCAUCGAACCCCAUGUCUGACUAGAAGUCCCUAUUGAUUUCUAAGGAUGCAAAAAGAUGUUUAUGACCAAAUCAAUGUUAUUUUUAAAAAGAGAUACAGGCUUCAGAUCCUUCUGCCCAAGUACAGGUUUGGAUAUUACUCUGAAGCCAGUGACACUAAAUCGAAAAUUAGUUGCUACAGAUAGGUGAGGCAAAGAGGAAUACUAAAUGCUAAAAGAACUGCCUUUGGGAUGGGAGAGCAUCUGUGGCAGAACCCAAGCUUUACAAAUAAGGAGAGAACUAUGGAAAAAAUGAAGCUUUGUGAUAUCACUGGGCAAAAUUAGUCCAGGGCGUAGCUGAAUAUCACUCUCCAUCUGAUUCAUUUAUUUUAGUGCUCACAUGGUUUGUCCUUGAAGCAGAGCAAAUGCCAAUAGAAAGAAGAGCUUUCCACUGUAUUUUCUCCCACAGAUUUGUUGAGGGUUAUUAAAAAAGAUUUUACACAAUUUUUGCUUAUUUUCGUAUGGAAAUUUUCAACUCGUGGAAUGAAG